rnacentral:rRNA from 1 species
CCUACGGGAGGCAGCGGUGGGGAAUUUUGGACAAUGGGGGCAACCCUGAUCCAGCCAUGCCGCGUGAGUGAAGAAGGCCUUCGGGUUGUAAAGCUCUUUCGGACGGAAAGAAAUUGCCAUCUCUAACAUAGGUGGUGGAUGACGGUACCGUAAGAAGAAGCACCGGCUAACUACGUGCCAGCAGCCGCGGUAAUACGUAGGGUGCGAGCGUUAAUCGGAAUUACUGGGCGUAAAGCGUGCGCAGGCGGUUUUGGAAGACAGGGGUGAAAUCCCCGGGCUCAACUGGGGAACUGCGCUUGUGACUGCAAGGCUAGAGUGCGGCAGAGGGGGGUAGAAUUCCACGUGUAGCAGUGAAAUGCGUAGAGAUGUGGAGGAAUACC